GCAGUCGAGGGGUAACAGGGGAGCUUGCUUCCGCUGACGACCGGCGCACGGGUGCGUAACGCGUAUGCAACUUGCCCCCUUCAGGAGGAUAGCCCGGAGAAAUUCGGAUUAAUACUCCAUAAUAUAAUAAGAUCGCAUGGUCUAAUUAUUAAAGAUUUAUCGGAAGGGGAUGGGCAUGCGUCCCAUUAGCUAGUUGGUAAGGUAACGGCUUACCAAGGCAUCGAUGGGUAGGGGUUCUGAGAGGAUGAUCCCCCACACUGGUACUGAGACACGGACCAGACUCCUACGGGAGGCAGCAGUAGGGAAUAUUGGGCAAUGGGGGCAACUCUGACCCAGCCAUGCCGCGUGAACGAAGAAGGCCUUCGGGUCGUAAAGUUCUUUUAUACGGGAAGAACCACAGUCCUGCGGGAUUGUCUGACGGUACCGUACGAAUAAGCACCGGCUAACUCCGUGCCAGCAGCCGCGGUAAUACGGAGGGUGCAAGCGUUGUCCGGAAUUAUUGGGUUUAAAGGGUACGCAGGCGGUAUGUUAAGUCAGUGGUGAAAGUUUGCAGCUCAACUGUAAAAGCGCCAUUGAUACUGGCAUACUUGAGUAUCGGAGAGGUAGGCGGAAUUCCUCAUGUAGCGGUGAAAUGCACAGAUAUGAGGAGGAACUCCAAAAGCGAAGGCAGCUUACUGGCCGAUAACUGACGCUGAGGUACGAAAGCGUG
rnacentral:rRNA from 1 species